rnacentral:ncRNA from 1 species
GGUAUGGGGACUGCGAUCUCCCCAUGAGGCGACAUGCUGAAGUAUCGCGUCCUGCUACGCUGAAGGACGCCGCAUG